GUCGAGGGGCAGCAUGGUCUUAGCUUGCUAAGGCCGAUGGCGACCGGCGCACGGGUGAGUAACACGUAUCCAACCUGCCGUCUACUCUUGGACAGCCUUCUGAAAGGAAGAUUAAUACAAGAUGGCAUCAUGAGUCCGCAUGUUCACAUGAUUAAAGGUAUUCCGGUAGACGAUGGGGAUGCGUUCCAUUAGAUAGUAGGCGGGGUAACGGCCCACCUAGUCUUCGAUGGAUAGGGGUUCUGAGAGGAAGGUCCCCCACAUUGGAACUGAGACACGGUCCAAACUCCUACGGGAGGCAGCAGUGAGGAAUAUUGGUCAAUGGGCGAGAGCCUGAACCAGCCAAGUAGCGUGAAGGAUGACUGCCCUAUGGGUUGUAAACUUCUUUUAUAAAGGAAUAAAGUCGGGUAUGGAUACCCGUUUGCAUGUACUUUAUGAAUAAGGAUCGGCUA
rnacentral:rRNA from 2 species